GAUGAAGAACGUAGUGAAAUGCGAUAAGUAAUGUGAAUUGCAGAAUUCAGUGAAUCAUCGAAUCUUUGAACGCACCUUGCACCCUUUGGCAUUCCGAAGGGUAUGCUCGUUUGAGUGUCAUUGUACUCUCACACUUCCAAUCUUUGGAUUGGGGGCGGUGGACUUGGGUGUUGCUGCUUACUGUGGCUCACCUCAAAUUGAUUCGUGCACCUCUUGGUUGGACAUAGUACGGCGUGAUAAGUGUCUUCGCCGGCACCUCAGUAGAGGGUGGCUGAUCGGGAGCUCUGUGCUUCAAACCGUCCUCGGACAACAACUGACAACUUGACCUCAAAUCAGGUAGGACUACCCGCUGAACUUAAGCAUAUCAAUAAGCGGAGGA
rnacentral:misc_RNA from 1 species